GCCAGGGGCAUGGACAGAGCCUUUUUCUAAAGAAAAAGACAAAAACUAAAAAAAAGAAAAAAAGGAAAAAGAAAAAAAAAGAAAUUAAUAUAUACGAAGAGUCCUGUGAGGCCUGGCUGGGUGAAGGGCACUGCUGAGCGUCCACUGGGCACCCUUCUAGGCCAGCUUCCUGCCUGGCGCCCCACCCCCACUUCUGGAGUCGCAGCUGUCCCACCUCCCCACCUACGGUGGGCACCGUUCCCCUUGUGCCCAGGGUGGGUGGGCAUGGUGUCCACCCUCGCCCCCUCCUGGUGCCCACCGUGGAUACUGCAUGAUGUGAACCAUGGUUUUGAACUCUGUUCCUGCCCCUCCCUGACAGCCCCACCCCAUGCCCACCGGUGCCAGCCGUGCCAUGGGCACCGUGGCGUGAGGCGGCCCUACCCAGCGCCCGCUGGGACGAGAAGCACAGACCUGCAAAGGACUCAUUUUUUUUCCUCCUCCGGCUCCCCGUCCCCGCCUGGCCAGGCCAGGCUGCCCCCGCCGACCCUGCUGGCCAUUUUGGGGGCAGCAAGGUGGCGCAGUUGUUUCUUGUGGUUGUGUGUGUUUGUUGUUCGGGUUUAAAAAAGGGAAAUUGAGACUGCAGGUGGGGGUGGGUCUGGGGGUCCCCCCAGUCCAGGAGAACCCUCCCUGUACCCGAGUCUCCUUCAUUGCCUGCCUCUGCUGUGAAAUACCUUGUUCUGUGUAUUAAACUGGGCCUGACCCCUCUGCCCACCACU
rnacentral:lncRNA from 1 species